rnacentral:rRNA from 1 species
UCUGGUGGCGAGUGGCGAACGGGUGAGUAAUAUAUCGGAACGUGCCCUGGAGUGGGGGAUAACUAGUCGAAAGAUUAGCUAAUACCGCAUACGAUCUAAGGAUGAAAGUGGGGGAUCGCAAGACCUCAUGCUCGUGGAGCGGCCGAUAUCUGAUUAGCUAGUUGGUGAGGUAAAGGCUCACCAAGGCGACGAUCAGUAGCUGGUCUGAGAGGACGACCAGCCACACUGGAACUGAGACACGGUCCAGACUCCUACGGGAGGCAGCAGUGGGGAAUUUUGGACAAUGGGCGCAAGCCUGAUCCAGCAAUGCCGCGUGAGUGAAGAAGGCCUUCGGGUUGUAAAGCUCUUUUGUCAGGGAAGAAACGGGUGAGGCUAAUAUCCUUGCCUAAUGACGGUACCUGAAGAAUAAGCACCGGCUAACUACGUGCCAGCAGCCGCGGUAAUACGUAGGGUGCAAGCGUUAAUCGGAAUUACUGGGCGUAAAGCGUGCGCAGGCGGUUGUGCAAGACAGAUGUGAAAUCCCCGGGCUCAACCUGGGAAUUGCAUUUGUGACUGCACGGCUAGAGUGUGUCAGAGGGG